UACAGAGGGUGCAAGCGUUGUUCGGAAUUAUUGGGCGUAAAGCGUGCGCAGGCGGUUCGUUGUGUCGGUGGUGAAAGCCCCGGGCUUAACCUGGGAAUGGCCAUGGAAACUGGCGAACUGGAGUGUGGCAGAGGGGGUGGAAUUCCGCGUGUAGCAGUGAAAUGCGUAGAGAUGCGGAGGAACACCGAUGGCGAAGGCAGCCCCCUGGGUCAAGAUUGACGCCUCGAUGCACGAAAGCGUGGGAGCAAACAGG
rnacentral:rRNA from 1 species